UGCAGAAGGUGAUGUUUGACGUCCUGUACAGCUGCAGUUCGUGUGGUGAAGGUGCUCCCACAAUGUGGUUGGGGAUCUGCACUGGAACCCUUCUGUUUGCGGGACAAAUAUAUGUAAGUGACAUGGAUUAAAAUCUAAUUUGGUCAACACAACCAUGAACCAAGCAAUGAUUCCUCAUCCAACACUCACAGGAAAUAUCUGAUGCCUUCU